ensembl:lncRNA LOC120100882 uncharacterized LOC120100882
CACAAAUUGUAGUAUUGAGAUUGGAGUUUUUAUCUAAGGAAACAUAUGAAAACUAAGUCUUCAAACCAAAAUUCGAUUAUGUCUGUCUUGAUUCUGCCCCUAUAUUGUCUUUAAUUUUAAUUCCUCUUAUUUCUUCUUUGAUUAGACUUUUACUUCUGUCACCCACAGACUGACCACCUUAUAAACACGGAGACAAACACCGAAGCAUCCAUUUGAAGUUAAAAUUUGAAAAUGGGGGAUCAGAAAUAAGAGAACCUUGGAAAUCCCAAAAGCUAGAAGGUUCAUGCUUCCAGCUGGACCUUGAGCUGAUCACUGGUUGCGAUUCCCUACGGAAAAGAGGAAGCGGCUGCAGGAGGAAUGUCCUGGGCAGAUCCAGAGCCCUAGAAACCCAGACUAGGAGGCACAGGAGCCAAAGGACCUGUGUACCCUGGACAGAUGAAGCCACUCUGUGUUCUCUGCAUUUUCCACCAGCCUUUUAGAGUUCGAAGACUCUAUAUCCCAAGCAAUACUUGCUAACAGAGUCGACGCAAAAACUAUACCUUUCAUAAGCAAAACAAACAAAAACAAAAAAAGCAACAACAACAAAAACAGAAUUUGAGUUUUGUUUAUAUUUCUUAGCAUUUGGGGAGGCUUCGAGGAAAGUGAACAACAGAAAUAAGGUUAUGGGCAAAACGGCUCAGUAGGGAGGAGGAGCUUGCCACCAACUAUUGAUGACCUGAGUUCAAUCCCAGGACCCCUAUGGAGGAAGGUGAGAACUGACCUCUGCCCUUCCCUCACCUGUCCCCAAACAAAUACACACCAGCAUAUAAAAACAAUAAAUAAAAAACUUUCUUAUAAAAAACAAGUAAUGUGAGUGAAAUAAACCCCUUUCUCCUGGAGCGGCUCCUAAUCACGACCUUCAACCGAAAGCAAACACAGGAAAAACAGCCUCAAGACAAUACAGUAAAAUUCAGAUUUUAAGAUAAAGAAAACAGCCUCCAGUCCUCUGGGCUGGAAAAGUUACAAAACAGAGAAUUCCAUGCACCUGGUCAAGGUCAUAAAAGAAAGGCACCCCCCUUUAGUUUCUCUGUCUUUAUUUUGGAACAGCAUUUUCAAACAUAAAUGUAAAGAGAUUGCAAGCCAAGGAUAUUACACUGGACCCGCCUCUUUCAGGCUCCAGAGCUCUGCCCUGAACUCUGACACUUUAUGCUAAGCCAAAGAGGUACGGUUGCCACAAUCUGACCUAGACCUUGGACAGCACCCUCGCCAGACAAGGCUGCCUGCUGUAGGAAGCCCUUGUCUUUCAGCAGCAGCUCCUGUUUCUUACCUGUAGUUCUACGGAGCCUUGGAAACGCCCCGCUGGCCUCGUGUUCCUAGGAUACAACCACGGAGCUGCAGUGGAACGCUGGCUCCUGCAGGACACAACUGCCACUGUUGUGCUAUCUACUACACUUCGAUGUCAUCUGUGGGACUGUGGCUGUUAGGUGACUCUUAAUCACACUGUGUGAAUAAAGUCCCUCACUGCCUUUGAGUUCACUGUCUCUGUACUAGAACAUUUAAUGCAAGUAGGACCAGUGCUGCCUCCUUGGGGUUGCUUGACCACAUGAUGGGCUGCUGUCCAAGUUUUGCUUAAAAGGUCAGCAAGCCACGGUGUGUUGAAGAACAGGCACCGCGAAGCUGAAGUCUACUUGGAAACCGGAAGCACACAAUCGCUGUUGAGCAGAAAUCCUGUCUCUUAGGCCUUACUUCCAAGGAGCAUGGUCGCAGUUGGGCAGCCGCUAAACUUGAAUGGCAAUCAUCUCUCCUAGUGCAUUCUAUGAAUUCCAGAGGCACAAUUAAUAACUUGUCUAAAAUUAUCUUUAUUUGAAAAAAUACCGUGAGCUCUUUUGGACACAGAAAUGAUUUCUGGUGGAUUUUAUAGGAAUUCGAGCCAUGUGUCCUACAGAGAGCACUCCAGGAAACCGGACAGCCCAAGCCUAACCAGAGGUGUUUCAAAUACAGAUGCUCCAUCAAUUUUGACAAACUUUUAAAAAUAAUGAGGACCUGAAGACCCUACCCUUCUCCUGAUUUAGUAGCUCUGUUCCAGGAACGAGGGGGCCAUAAAACCUUCUGGCAUCCCCUUAUCUCCUGGAGCCAUAAAACAAUCCUGUAACUUGUGGUGCAUUCCCCUUUGACAUCCCCCCCACCCCCUAGUGCUCACAGCCUCUGCCUUUAAAUACUCUUUUUCCCAGCCUCUCGGGGUCGACACCUCUGUCUCCUGCGUGGGAUAUGUGUCGGCCCGGAGAUCUCUGUAAUAGGUCUCUGUAAUAAACCUUGCC